rfam:Bacterium SCN 62-11 ABS71_C0373, whole genome shotgun sequence.
AUUGAAGUAGAAAAGAGCACAUGGUGGAUGCCUAGGCGGUAGGCGUCGAUGAAGGACGUAGCAGGCUGCGAAAAGCCUCGGGGAGCCGCGAGCGGGCUUUGAUCCGGGGAUAUCCGAAUGGGGCAACCGCUGAGCAUUAAGAGCUCAGAGCAUACGAUGAAUUCAUAGUCGUAUGCGGGCAACCUGGCGAAGUGAAACAUCUCAGUAGCUAGAGGAAAAGAAAUCAAUCGAGAUUCCCCCAGUAGUGGCGAGCGAAAGGGGAACAGCCCAAACCUGCGUGACGUGAUAGGUGUCAGCCGUUGUCGCGCGGGUGUUGUAGGACUGCAUGUUGGACUCUGACAGGUCCUAGCGAAGUCAAAAAACCGUUGUCUAGUCGAAGCGGCCUGGGAAGGCCUGUCAAAGAGUGUGAUAGCCACGUAGGCGAAAGAUAGCGGUCUUCGUUGUGUAGUUCCUGAGUACGGCCGGGCACGUGGAACCCGGUCGGAAGCUGGGUGGACCAUCAUCCAAGGCUAAAUAUGACCUACCGACCGAUAGCGAUUAGUACCGUGAGGGAAAGCGUGAAAAGAACCCCGGGAGGGGAGUGAAAUAGAACCUGAAACCGUGUGCUUACAAACCGUUAGAGACCUAUGGCGCAAGCCAGGUUUAUAGCGUGCCUAUUGAAGAAUGAGCCGGCGACUUACUAGUACGGGCGAGGUUAAGGGACUGAGGUUCCGGAGCCGAAGCGAAAGCGAGUCUGAACAGGGCGUCAAGUCCGUAUUAGUAGACCCGAAGCGAAGUGACCUAUCCAUGGCCAGGGUGAAGCUCUCUUAAUCGUGAGUGGAGGCCCGAACUGAUGUUUGUUGCAAAAAACUCGGAUGAGCUGUGGAUAGCGGUGAAAUGCCAAUCGAACUUCGUAAUAGCUGGUUCUCCCCGAAAUAGCUCUAGGGCUAGCGUCGGGAUUUAAACACUGGGGGUAGAGCACUGACAGAGCUAGGGGCCCUGACCGGUUACUGAACUCCAUCAAACUCCGAAUACCAGUGUGUAUAUCCCGGCAGUCAGACUAUGUGGGAUAAGCUGCGUAGUCAAAAGGGAAACAGCCCAGAUCGUCUGCUAAGGUCCCUAAAUUUCAGCUAAGUGGUAAAGGAAGUCAGAAUUCUUAGACAGCCAGGAGGUUGGCUUAGAAGCAGCCACCCUUAAAAGAGUGCGUAAUAGCUCACUGGUCGAUGUUUUCUGGCGCCGAAAAUGUAGCGGGGCUCAAGCUGAAUACCGAAGCAACGGGCUUGACUUUAGUCAAGCGGUAGGGGAGCGUUCUGUACGCCUGUGAAGCCGUAUCGUGAGAAGCGGUGGAGGUAUCAGAAGUGCGAAUGCCGGCAUGAGUAGCGUAAAGAGAUGUGAGAAUCAUCUCCGCCGAAAGCCUAAGAUUUCCUGGGCCAGGGUUUUCCACCCAGGGUUAGGCGGGACCUAAGCCGAGGUCGAGAGACGUAGGUGAUGGACAGCCGGUUAAGAUUCCGGCCCCACGGCAACUUGUUUGAUCGAUGGAGUGACGCAGAAAGAUAGUGCUAGCGGCGUGUGGUUGUGCCGCGUCAAGCGUGUAGGGUGUUGGAAUAGGCAAAUCCGUUCCAACUGAGCCUGAGACGUGAUGAGGACCGAACUAAGUAGGGAACUGCAUGUGUCUACGCUGCCGAGAAAAACUUCUAGGUAGAGUUGUCGUGCCCGUAUUGAAACCGACACUGGUGGGCAAGUAGAAUAUACUAAGGCGGCGGGUGAAGCCUUCUUAAGGAACUCGGCAAAUUAACCCCGUAACUUAGGGAAAAGGGGUGCCUUGGAUUGUGUAGGGAUUUACUCCCGAAGCGUUCCGAGGUCGCAGUGAAAGGGCUCAAGCGACUGUUUAACACAAACACAGGUCUCUGCCAAGCCGCAAGGCGACGUAUAGGGGCUGACUCCUGCCCGGUGCUGGAACGUUAAGGGGAGGGCUCAGGGUGCAAACCCGAAGGCUUAAACCGAAGCGCCAGUAAACGGCGGCCGUAACUAUAACGGUCCUAAGGUAGCGAAAUUCCUUGUCGGGUAAGUUCCGACCCGCACGAAUGGAGUAACGACUUGAGCACUGUCUCGAGAAGGGGCCCGGCGAAAUUGCAUUACCUGUGAAGAUGCAGGUUACCCGCAGCAAGACGGAAAGACCCCGUGGAGCUUUACUGUAGCUUGAUGUUGAUUUUUGGUUCGUUCUGUACAGGAUACGUGGGAGGCUAUGAUGGUGCGACGCAAGUUGUAUCGGAGCCGUUGUUGGGAUACCACGCUGGACGGGCUGGAAAUCUAACCUGGAGUGUAAUCCACUUCAGGAACAGCGUCUGGUAGGCAGUUUGACUGGGGCGGUUGCCUCCUAAAGAGUAACGGAGGCGUUCAAAGGUUCCCUCAGCCUGGUCGGGAAUCAGGCGCAGAGUGCAAGCGCAUAAGGGAGCUUGACUGCGAGACGAACAUGUCGAGCAGAGUGGAAACACGGAGCUAGUGAUCCGGCGGUGCCGAGUGGAAGGGCCGUCGCUUAUCGGAUAAAAGCUACCCCGGGGAUAACAGGCUUAUCACGCCCAAGAGUCCAUAUCGACGGCGUGGUUUGGCACCUCGAUGUCGGCUCAUCGCAUCCUGGGGCUGAAGUAGGUCCCAAGGGUUGGGCUGUUCGCCCAUUAAAGCGGUACGUGAGCUGGGUUCAGAACGUCGUGAGACAGUUCGGUCCCUAUCUGCUGUGGGCGUAGGAAGUUUGAGAAGAUCUGUCCUUAGUACGAGAGGACCGGGAUGGACAGACCUCUGGUGAACCAGUUGUCAUGCCAGUGGCAAAGCUGGGUAGCUAAGUCUGGAAGGGAUAAACGCUGAAAGCAUCUAAGCGUGAAGCCCACUUCAAGAUGAGACUUCCCUCCCUUUCGAGGGGUAAGAGUCCUGGAAGACGACCAGGUUGAUAGGCCGGGUGUGGAAGCGCAGUAAUGCGUGCAGCGAACCGGUACUAAUAACUCGAGCGACUUCAUAAA